rnacentral:lncRNA from 1 species
GGUGGAAGACGGGAUAUGUAUAUCCUCCGGGGAUUUGACCUCCGGGAGAGAAGGCGGCGUGGGCCACGGGGGGGUCUCUACGGGAACUCGUGGGAUGUCAGCCACUUGUGCGUGGGCCCCGCGCGGCUCCUCGUGACGGAACGGGUUUCGGGGCCGUUUCGGUGGUUUUUUGUUUCUUGUUUCUUUCCUUUUUAACUGCGGUGCGCCCCGUGUUGUUGUUGUUGGAUAAUACUAUGGCUCAUGGGCGCGGCGGAGAUUCCUUUUCACAGAGCCGCUGGGAUGGAUCGUGUCGUACGUACGGCGCGCGGCCCUGGCUCUUGUUCUCAACUAAACGUUCCGGGAUUUUUCUUUAAUUUCUUUUGAGGAUUAAUUAGUGCCCGGUGCCAUUUGUUUUGUUUCCUGGCACUGUGAACAUUUUGGUCGUAGUGCUGCAACGUUGGUGCGAUUCGGGUUACAAGGGCCGGCUAAAGAACACAUGCCAGCACCUAAUUGCCUGUUCGAUUGGCUCUUUCUUUCUCUCUUUUUAUUUCUCUUCCCCUGACCCAAAAAAAAAUGGCUCUUCCUUUUUCAUACCUUGAAAAUGUUUCCAUUUGAAAUAUGGAAAUAGAAAUGAGGAACCGUCCAUUUAACCUUUUCAUGUUGAGUUGGCACAUUUUUGGCCUAUUUGUAGUUCGUCAAUCAUUAUGUUCCGCGUUCGCUCAUUAAUUCAGUCAAGAUCUUCUCCGUGUUGAUUUAUUUGGUGCCAG